rnacentral:rRNA from 1 species
UUGCCUACGGGAGGCAGCAGUAGGGAAUCUUCCACAAUGGGCGAAAGCCUGAUGGAGCAACGCCGCGUGGGUGAAGAAGGUCUUCGGAUCGUAAAACCCUGUUGUUAGAGAAGAAAGUGCGUGAGAGUAACUGUUCACGUUUCGACGGUAUCUAACCAGAAAGCCACGGCUAACUACGUGCCAGCAGCCGCGGUAAUACGUAGGUGGCGAGCGUUAUCCGGAAUGAUUGGGCGUAAAGGGUGCGUAGGCGGCCUGCUAAGUCUGGAGUGAAAGGUACCGGCUCAACCGGUACAGGCUCUGGAAAC